AAUAGAUACCCUGGUAGUCCACGCCGUAAACGAUGAGAGCUAGACGUCGGGCGGCUUGCCGUUCGGUGUCGCAGCUAACGCAUUAAGCUCUCCGCCUGGGGAGUACGGCCGCAAGGUUAAAACUCAAAGGAAUUGACGGGGGGCCCGCACAAGCGGUGGAGCAUGUGGUUUUAAUUCGAAGCAACGCGCAGAACCUUACCAUCCCUUGACUUGGACGUCGCGGGCCCAGAGAUGGGUCUUUCAGUUCGGCUGGACGUCACACAGGUGCUGCAUGGCUGUCGUCAGCUCGUGUCGUGAGAUGUUGGGUUAAGUCCCGCAACGAGCGCAACCCUCGCCCUUAGUUGCCAUCAUUCAGUUGGGCACUCUAGGGGAACCGCCGGUGAUAAGCCGGAGGAAGGUGGGGAUGACGUCAAGUCCUCAUGGCCCUUACGGGAUGGGCUACACACGUGCUACAAUGGUGGUGACAAAGGGUUGAUCCCUAAAAGCCAUCUCAGUUCGGAUCGGGGUCUGCAACUCGACCCCGUGAAGUUGGAUCGCUAGU
rnacentral:rRNA from 1 species